AUUGAACGCUGGCGGCAGGCCUAACACAUGCAAGUCGAACGUGUGGCGGAGGGGUGAGUAGUGUCUGGGAAACUGCUCGAGGGAGGGGGAAAACCACUGGAAAGUGUAGAUAAUACCGCAUACCAUCGGCUGUGCCCAGAUGGGAUUAGCUAGUAGGUGGGGUAACGGCUCACCUCGGAGACGCCCCCUAGCUGGUCUGAGAGGUUGACCCGCCACACUGGAACUGAGACACGGGCCAUACUCCUACGGGAGGCAGCAGUGGGGAAUAUUGCACAAUGGGCGCAGUCCUGAUGAAGCCAUGCCGGGUGUAUGAAGAAGGCCUUCGGGUUGUAAAGUACUUUCAGAGAGUAGGCGUUACUUACAGAAGAAGCACCGGCUAACUCCGUGCCAGCAGCCGCGGUGAUAC
rnacentral:rRNA from 1 species